GUGAAAGACCCGGGCUCAACCCUGGAACUGCUCUUGAUACUGCGAUUCUUGAGGCCGGUAGAGGUCACUGGAACCUUAGGUGGAGCGGUGAAAUGCGUAGAUAUCUAAGGGAACGCCUGUGGCGAAAGCGGGUGACUGGGCCUGUCCUGACGCUGAGACGCGAAAGCGUAGGGAGCAAACGGGAUUAGAUACCCCGGUAGUCUACGCCGUAAACGAUGCGCACUAGGUUCGAAGGUCUCUGACGAUCCUCGGACCGAAACAAAAGCGUUAAGUGCGCCGCCUGGGGAGUACGGCCGCAAGGCUAAAACUCAAAGGAAUUGACGGGGGCUCACACAAGCGGUGGAGCAUGUGGAUCAAUUCGAAGCAACGCGAAGAACCUUACCUGGGUUUGACAUGCAUGGAUGCCCUCGACGAAAGUUGAGUAAGCUGCCUUUGGUGAAACAUGCACAGGUGCUGCAUGGCUGUCGUCAGCUCGUGCUGUGAAGUGUCGGGUUAAGUCCCUUAACGAGCGAAACCCUUAUCGCUAGUUGCCAGCGGGUCAUGCCGGGAACUCUAGUGAGACUGCCGGCGUCAAGCCGGAGGAAGGCGGGGACGACGUCAAGUCAUCAUGGCCUUUAUGCCCAGGGCGUCACACGUGCUACAAUGGGGUGGAACAGAGCGAUGCGAGACCGCAAGGUGGAGCAAAUCGCAGAAAACACCCCUCAGUUCGGAUUGAGGUCUGCAACCCGACCUCAUGAAGCUGGAAUCGCUAGUAAUCGCGUAUCAGCCAUGACGCGGUGAAU
rnacentral:rRNA from 1 species